AGUGAACGCUGGCGGUAGGCCUAACACAUGCAAGUCGAACGGCAGCACAGUAAGAGCUUGCUCUUACGGGUGGCGAGUGGCGGACGGGUGAGGAAUACAUCGGAAUCUACUUUUUCGUGGGGGAUAACGUAGGGAAACUUACGCUAAUACCGCAUACGACCUACGGGUGAAAGCAGGGGAUCUUCGGACCUUGCGCGAUUGAAUGAGCCGAUGUCGGAUUAGCUAGUUGGCGGGGUAAAGGCCCACCAAGGCGACGAUCCGUAGCUGGUCUGAGAGGAUGAUCAGCCACACUGGGACUGAGACACGGUCCAGACUCCUACGGGAGGCAGCAGUGGGGAAUAUUGGACAAUGGGCGCAAGCCUGAUCCAGCCAUACCGCGUGGAUGAAGAAGGCCUUCGGGUUGUAAAGCCCUUUUGUUGGGAAAGAAAAGCAGCAGGUUAAUACCCCGCUGUUCUGACGGUACCCAAAGAAUAAGCACCGGCUAACUUCGUG
rnacentral:rRNA from 1 species